ACAUGCAGUCGAACGNGGUGUAGCAGGUACACUAGUGGCGCACGGGUGCGUAACGCGUANACCAUACCUGCCCUUGACUGGGGGAUAGCCCGCCGAAAGGCGGAUUAAUACCGCAUAACCUCACAGUGUGGCAUCACACAAUGAGUAAAGAUUUAUUGGUCAAGGAUGGGGUUGCGUGACAUUAGCUAGUUGGCGGGGUAAGGGCCCACCAAGGCGACGAUGUCUAGGGGAGCUGAGAGGCUGAUCCCCCACACUGGCACUGAGAUACGGGCCAGACUCCUACGGGAGGCAGCAGUAGGGAAUAUUGGGCAAUGGGCGAGAGCCUGACCCAGCCAUGCCGCGUGCCGGAUGAAGGCCUUCUGGGUUGUAAACGGCUUUUCUCAGGGAAGAAAACGACCAUGCGUGGUACACUGACGGUACCUGAGGAAUAAGCACCGGCUAACUCCGUGCCAGCAGCCGCGGUAAUACGGAGGGUGCAAGCGUUGUCCGGAUUUAUUGGGUUUAAAGGGUGCGUAGGUGGUUUGAUAAGUCCGGGGUGAAAGCCCACAGCUCAACUGUGGAACUGCCCUGGAUACUGUCAGACUUGAGGGUAGACGAGGUUGGCGGAAUAGAAGGUGUAGCGGUGAAAUGCAUAGAUACCUUCUAGAACCCCGAUUGCGUAGGCAGCUGACUAGGCUACACCUGACACUGAGGCACGAAAGCGUGGGGAGCGAACAGGAUUAGAUACCCUGGUAGUCCACGCCGU
rnacentral:rRNA from 1 species